rnacentral:rRNA from 1 species
UACGUAGGCAGCAAGCGUUGUUCGAAAUUACUGGGCGUAAAGAGUGUGUAGGCGGUGCUCCAAGUCUGGUGUGAAAUCUCCCGGCUCAACUGGGAGGGUGCGCCGGAUACUGAGGGGCUAGAGUGUGGGAGAGGAAAGUGGAAUUCCUGGUGUAGCGGUGAAAUGCGUAGAUAUCAGGAGGAACACCGGUGGUGUAAACGGCUUUCUGGACCAUAACUGACGCUGAGGCACGAAAGCGUGGGUAGCAAACAGG